rnacentral:rRNA from 1 species
UACGGAGGGUGCAAGCGUUAAUCGGAAUUACUGGGCGUAAAGCGCGCGUAGGUGGCUUUGUCAGUCAGAUGUGAAAGCCCUGGGCUUAACCUGGGAACUGCACCUGAUACUGCGAGGCUAGAGUAUGGUAGAGGGGUGUGGAAUUUCCUGUGUAGCGGUGAAAUGCGUAGAUAUAGGAAGGAACACCAGUGGCGAAGGCGACACCCUGGACCACUACUGACACUGAGGUGCGAAAGCGUGGGGAGCAAACAGG